CGANNAAUCUUACCACUCCUUGUAUAAUAAAUAUUUUCCUUAAGGGAUUGUUUUGACUUUGAGGAACUUUAAUUAAAUAAUAACAUAUAUACUUAUGAUAAGUCUUUAAACUUACUUAUAUAUAUUUGUAAUACGUCAUCUAAACUUAUAUUAAUAAUAAUUCAAUAGUUAUUAUUGAAUCGAUGACAUAAUUGUUGUUAAUGUGAUGGAUAGUAAUAAUAAUUAAAUAUUGUUAUGGGUGUGAGUAACAUUAGUAAUAAUAACUAAUUAUUACCAUUAUAAACCACAGUAAUAAUAAUUGAUUAAAUAAUUAAAUGGAAUGAAUGAUUAAGCAAUUAGUAAUUCAUUAAUAUUUAUUACAGGUGUUGCAUGGCUGUCUUUAGUUCGUGUUGUGAAAUGUUAGGUUAAUUCCGAAAACGAACGCAAUCCUUAUCUUUAUUUAAAACUAUAUAAAGAGGUAUCUUUCCAUAAGAAGGAAUAAUUAGGGUGAAGACAAGUCCUCAUGACCCUUAUGGAGUGGGCUACAGACGUGCCACAAAUAUUUCUACAAAGGGAAGCAAAGAUGAAAGUCUGAGCUAAUCCUCAAAAGAAAUAAAAGUACGGAUAAGAAUCUGGAACUCGAUUCUUUGAAGAAGGAAUUGCUAGNNNAUCGUNNNNNNAAAANUNNAUUNNNUUAUUUAANNAAUUNUUNUUACUGNGGNUUANNAUGGUAAUAAUNNGNUAUUANNNNNNNNGUNACUCACACCCAUAACAAUAUUUAAUUAUNAUUACUAU
rnacentral:rRNA from 1 species